rnacentral:rRNA from 1 species
CAUGCUUCCAAGAAAAGCAUCUAGAGAGAGAAGUAGUGCCCGUACCGCAAACCGACACAGGUAGAUGAGGAGAGAAUCCUAAGGCCGGCGGAAGAAUUGCAGUUAAGGAACUAGGCAAAUUGACCCCGUAAGUUCGCGAGAAGGGGUGCCUGCGAGAGCAGGCCGCAGAGAAUAGGCCCAAGCAACUGUUUAGCAAAAACACAGGUCUCUGCUAAAGCGUAAGCUGAUGUAUAGGGGCUGACGCCUGCCCGGUGCUGGAAGGUUAAGGGGAACACUUAGCGCAAGCGAAGGUGUGAACUUAAGCCCCAGUAAACGGCGGCCGUAACAAUAACGGUCCUAAGGUAGCGAAAUUCCUUGUCAGGUAAGUUCUGACCCGCACGAAUGGCGUAAUGACUUGGGCACUGUCUCAACUGCAAAUCCGGCGAAGUUGUAGUGCGAGUGAAGAUGCUCGCUACCCGCGAUUGGACGGAAAGACCCCGUAGAGCUUUACUGUAGCUUAGCAUUGAAUUCCGGUAUUGUCUGUACAGGAUAGGUGGGAGACUGGGAAACUAGGGCGUCAGCCUUAGUGGAGUCAACCUUGGGAUACCACCCUGACAGUACUGGGGUUCUAACAGGACGCCAUGAAGCUGGUGACUGGACAUUGUUAGGUGGGCAGUUUGACUGGGGCGGUCGCCUCCUAAAAAGUAACGGAGGCGCCCAAAGGUUCCCUCAGAACGGUCGGAAAUCGUUCGUAGAGUGCAAAGGCAGAAGGGAGCCUGACUGCGAGACCCACAAGUCGAGCAGGGACGAAAGUCGGGCUUAGUGAUCCGGUGGUACCUCGUGGGAGGGCCAUCGCUCAACGGAUAAAAGCUACCUCGGGGAUAACAGGCUGAUCUCCCCCAAGAGUCCACAUCGACGGGGAGGUUUGGCACCUCGAUGUCGGCUCGUCGCAUCCUGGGGCUGUAGUAGGUCCCAAGGGUUGGGCUGUUCGCCCAUUAAAGCGGCACGCGAGCUGGGUUCAGAACGUCGUGAGACAGUUCGGUCCCUAUCCGUCGCGGGCGUAGGAAAUUUGAGAGGAGCUGUCCUUAGUACGAGAGGACCGGGAUGGACUGACCUCUGGUGCACCAGUUGUUCUGCCAAGAGCAUGGCAGGGUAGCUAAGUCGGGAAGGGAUAAACGCUGAAAGCAUCUAAGCGUGAAGCCCCCCUCAAGAUGAGAUUUCCCAUAGCAUAAGCUAGUAAGACCCCUUGAAGAACACAAGGUUGAUAGGUCAGAGGUGGAAGUGCGGUAACGUAUGCAGCUGACUGAUACUAAUAGGUCGAGGGCUUGACCU